rnacentral:rRNA from 1 species
ACUCAAAGGAAUUGACGGGGGCCCGCACAAGCGGAGGAACAUGUGGUUUAAUUCGAUGAUACGCGAGGAACCUUACCUGGGCUUGAAAGGGGAAUGACCUCCCGGGAAACCGGGAUUCUCUUCGGAGCAUUCUCCUAGGUGCUGCAUGGUUGUCGUCAGCUCGUGCCGUGAGGUGUCGGGUUAAGUCCCAUAACGAGCGCAACCCCUAUUGUUAGUUGCCAGCGGGUAAUGCCGGGAACUCUAACGAAACUGCCGGUGUAAACCGAGAGGAAGGUGGGGAUGACGUCAAAUCAGCACGGCCCUUAUGUCCAGGGCUACACACGUGUUACAAUGGCCGGUACAAAGGGCAGCUACUUGGUGACAAGAUGCUAAUCUCUAAAACCGGUCUCAGUUCGGAUCGAAGUCUGCAACUCGACUUCGUGAAGCUGGAUUCGCUAGUAAUCGCGCAUCAGCAACGGCGCGGUGAAUACGUUCCCGGGCCUUGUACACACCGCCCGU